UACACGAAGAACCUUACCAGGGUUUGACAUGUAAGUGGUAGGAAGCCGAAAGGUGACCGACCCUUCGGGGAGCUUACACAGGUGCUGCAUGGCUGUCGUCAGCUCGUGUCGUGAGAUGUUCGGUUAAGUCCGCUAACGAGCGCAACCCUCGCUGUGUGUUAUAUGUGUCACACGGGACUGCCGGUCUUAAGCCGGAGGAAGGUGGGGAUGAUGUCAAGUCAGCAUGGCCUUUAUAUCUUGGGCA
rnacentral:rRNA from 1 species